UACGAAGGGAGCAAGCGUUGUCCGGAUUUAUUGGGCGUAAAGAGCUCGUAGGCGGCUUGGCAAGUCGGGUGCGAAACCUCCAGGCUCAACCUGGAGACGCCACUCGAUACUGCUAUGGCUAGAGUCCGGUAGGGGACCACGGAAUUCCUGGUGUAGCGGUGAAAUGCGCAGAUAUCAGGAGGAACACCGGUGGCGAAGGCGGUGGUCUGGGCCGGCACUGACGCUGAGGAGCGAAAGCGUGGGUAGCAAACAGG
rnacentral:rRNA from 1 species